rnacentral:rRNA from 1 species
UACGUAGGGUGCAAGCGUUGUCCGGAAUUAUUGGGCGUAAAGAGCUCGUAGGCGGUUCGUCGCGUCGGCUGUGAAAACCCGGAGCUCAACUCCUGGCCUGCAGUCGAUACGGGCGGACUUGAGUGUUGCAGGGGAUGCUGGAAUUCCUGGUGUAGCGGUGAAAUGCGCAGAUAUCAGGAGGAACACCGGUGGCGAAGGCGGGUAUCUGGGCAACUACUGACGCUGAGGAGCGAAAGCGUGGGGAGCGAACAGG